rnacentral:rRNA from 1 species
AGAGGCCUACGGGGGGCAGCAGUGAGGAAUAUUGGUCAAUGGGCGAGAGCCUGAACCAGCCAAGUCGCGUGAGGGAAGACGGUCCUAUGGAUUGUAAACCUCUUUUGCCGGGGAGCAAAAAGCGGUACGUGUACCGCAUCGAGAGUACCCGGAGAAAAAGCAUCGGCUAACUCCGUGCCAGCAGCCGCGGUAAUACGGAGGAUGCGAGCGUUAUCCGGAUUUACUGGGUGUAAAGGGAGCGUAGACGGCGAUGCAAGUCUGAAGUGAAAGGCGGGGGCCCAACCCCCGGGCUGCUAU